GCCGUAGCUAACGUGUUAAGUGCACCGCCUGGGGAGUACGGCCGCAAGGCUAAAACUCAAAGAAAUUGACGGGGGCCCGCACAAGCGGUGGAGCAUGUGGCUUAAUUCGAUGCAACGCGAAGAACCUUACCUGGGCUUGACAUGGCGAGACUUCGGUCUAAACCGGUGAAAGUCGGUUGAACGCACACAGGUGCUGCAUGGCUGUCGUCAGCUCGUGCCGUGAGGUGUUGGGUUAAGUCCCGCAACGAGCGCAACCCUUGUGGGUAGUUGCCACCCCCGUUCUGCGGGGAGCACUCUACUCAGACUGCCCGUGACAAGCGGGAGGAAGGUGGGGAUGACGUCAAGUCCGUAUGGCCCUUAUGCCCAGGGCUGCACACGUGCUACAAUGGUCGGUACAGAAAGAUGCAAGACCGCGAGGUGGAGCAAAUCUCCAAAACCGGCCCCAGUUCGGAUUGCAGUCUGCAACUCGACUGCAUGAAGCCGGAAUCGCUAGUAACGGCGUAUCAGCUACGACGCCGUGAAUACGUUCCCGGGCAUUGUACACACCGCCCGUCACAUCAUGANAGCCGAUUGACUCCGAAGUCGUCGAUUCAACCCGCAAG
rnacentral:rRNA from 1 species